rnacentral:rRNA from 1 species
UACAGAGGUCCCGAGCGUUGUUCGGAUUCACUGGGCGUAAAGGGUGCGUAGGUGGCCUAAAAAGUUUGAUGUGAAAGCUCAGGGCUUAACCCUGAAAUGGCAUUGAAUACUGUUGGGCUGGAGGUUUGGAGGGGGGACUGGAAUUCUUGGUGUAGCAGUGAAAUGCGUAGAUAUCAAGAGGAACACCAGUGGCGAAGGCGAGCCCCUGGACAACACCUGACACUGAGGCACGAAAGCUAGGGGAGCAAACAGG